rnacentral:rRNA from 1 species
UACAGAGGGGGCAAGCGUUGUUCGGAAUUACUGGGCGUAAAGGGCGCGUAGGCGGCCUGUUAAGUCGAACGUGAAAUCCCCGGGCUCAACCCGGGAACUGCGUCCGAUACUGGCAGGCUUGAAUUCGGGAGAGGGAUGUGGAAUUCCAGGUGUAGCGGUGAAAUGCGUAGAUAUCUGGAGGAACACCGGUGGCGAAGGCGGCAUCCUGGACCGGUAUUGACGCCGAUGCGCGAAAGCCAGGGGAGCAAACGGG